GACGAACGCUGGCGGCGUGUUUAACACAUGCAAGUCGAACGGAAAGGCCCUGCUUUUGUGGGGUGCUCGAGUGGCGAACGGGUGAGUAACACGUGAGUAACCUGCCCUUGACUUUGGGAUAACUUCAGGAAACUGGGGCUAAUACCGGAUAGGAGCUCCUGCUGCAUGGUGGGGGUUGGAAAGUUUCGGCGGUUGGGGAUGGACUCGCGGCUUAUCAGCUUGUUGGUGGGGUAGUGGCUUACCAAGGCUUUGACGGGUAGCCGGCCUGAGAGGGUGACUGGCCACAUUGGGACUGAGAUACGGCCCAGACUCCUACGGGAGGCAGCAGUGGGGAAUAUUGCACAAUGGGCGGAAGCCUGAUGCAGCAACGCCGCGUGCGGGAUGACGGCCUUCGGGUUGUAAACCGCUUUCGCCUGUGACGAAGCGUGAGUGACGGUAAUGGGUAAAGAAGCACCGGCUAACUACGUGCCAGCAGCCGCGGUGAUACGUAGGGUGCGAGCGUUGUCCGGAUUUAUUGGGCGUAAAGGGCUCGUAGGUGGUUGAUCGCGUCGGAAGUGUAAUCUUGGGGCUUAACCCUGAGCGUGCUUUCGAUACGGGUUGACUUGAGGAAGGUAGGGGAGAAUGGAAUUCCUGGUGGAGCGGUGGAAUGCGCAGAUAUCAGGAGGAACACCAGUGGCGAAGGCGGUUCUCUGGGCCUUUCCUGACGCUGAGGAGCGAAAGCGUGGGGAGCGAACAGGCUUAGAUACCCUGGUAGUCCACGCUGUAAACGGUGGGUACUAGGUGUGGGGUCCAUUCCACGGGUUCCGUGCCGUAGCUAACGCUUUAAGUACCCCGCCUGGGGAGUACGGCCGCAAGGCUAAAACUCAAAGGAAUUGACGGGGCCCCGCACAAGCGGCGGAGCAUGCGGAUUAAUUCGAUGCAACGCGUAGAACCUUACCUGGGUUUGACAUGGAUCGGGAGUGCUCAGAGAUGGGUGUGCCUCUUUUGGGGUCGGUUCACAGGUGGUGCAUGGCUGUCGUCAGCUCGUGUCGUGAGAUGUUGGGUUAAGUCCCGCAACGAGCGCAACCCUUGUUCACUGUUGCCAGCACGUUAUGGUGGGGACUCAGUGGAGACCGCCGGGGUCAACUCGGAGGAAGGUGGGGAUGACGUCAAGUCAUCAUGCCCCUUAUGUCCAGGGCUUCACGCAUGCUACAAUGGCUGGUACAGAGAGUGGCGAGCCUGUGAGGGUGAGCGAAUCUCGGAAAGCCGGUCUCAGUUCGGAUUGGGGUCUGCAACUCGACCUCAUGAAGUCGGAGUCGCUAGUAAUCGCAGAUCAGCAACGCUGCGGUGAAUACGUUCCCGGG
rnacentral:rRNA from 1 species